rnacentral:rRNA from 1 species
GAAAGGUGUGCUAAUACCGCAUAAUCCGCCGGGCCUGCGGGUCUGACGGCAAAGGUGGCCUCUUCAUGAAAGCUGCCGGAUGGAGAUGAGCCCGCGUCCCAUUAGCUAGUUGGUAGGGUAACGGCCUACCAAGGCAACGAUGGGUAGCUGGUCUGAGAGGACGGCCAGCCACACUGGAACUGGAACACGGUCCAGACUCCUACGGGAGGCAGCAGUGAGGAAUAUUGCGCAAUGGGGGAAACCCUGACGCAGCGAUGCCGCGUGGGUGAAGAAGGCCUUCGGGUCGUAAAGCCCUGUCAGGUGGGAAGAAUAGCCUCCAAUUAAAUAGGUUGGAGGUAUGACGGUACCACCGAAGGAAGCACCGGCUAACUCCGUGCCAGCAGCCGCGGUAAGACGGAGGGUGCGAGCGUUAUUCGGAAUUAUUGGGCGUAAAGAGCGUGUAGGCGGCCGAUUAAGUCAGGUGUGAAAGCCCGAGGCUCAACCUCGGAAGGGCACUUGAAACUGGUCGGCUUGAGUCCGGGAGAGGGAAGCGGAAUUCCGGGUGUAGAGGUGAAAUUC